ACUUCUGGGAUGUUGGAAAUAAAAGUGUUACUUCUGUGAAUGCGGUACCAGACCAGGGUGGAGGGAGGGUUAGAGUAUAAUUCAUGCUUUUUUGCUCAGGGCUGGUCCAAGGCCCUUUGGGUACACAUGGUGCGAGCCAAAGGACUCUCUGCUCCUGAAAUGGCCCUCCUGCUGCCCCUCAGGACAUAGACUCCUCAGUACGUGAGUAUCUUUAUUUGCUUAAAGCCACUGCUAAAAGGCAAAUGUGUUACCUGUGGGGAAAGGGGGUACACAUUAGCACUGACUUGCAUUUUGGCAUUGAUUUUUUGAACAAAUCAGUACGUAUAAAGACAUACAAAGUCUUAAGGAGAUGGGAUGAUAGGGCAGUUUUGUGAGAAGAGGGGGAAAGGGAAAAUGAACAAGCAUAGGGAACUGGCUAUAAACAGGCCUGGGCAAGGCACACAGUGGGCUCUUGCGGGAAGAGUCACAGGGUGAAUAUUUAAAGGUGUGCUGUGGUAUUGGGUAAGGGCGAUAAUGCAAAUGUGACUCCUAAAAAGUCUGUCUAGGGCUGGCUCUUGUGUAUUUAUUCUAAACCAGGCUACCUUCUUUUCAGCAGCAGGGAAGAUCAUCACUGGGGCUCAAAUGCCUCAGCCACUGAAUCUACCCGUAGGGGAACCAUGCUCCACUGGCUGCAUUCUGCAAAGAAACUGAGGCCUUUGGUGAUUUCCUCUGAUGGGGCUGCUGCCCGGUAGCUGGGACACACAACCACCAAGUCCGGGCCCGACACAGCUGACUGAAUGAGAACCAUUUAUGGGAGCUACUAUUAAAGGCAUUGUCUUCCUGGAACUGGCUGGAUAAACCUAGCCACACGGUGGUCCUGGUGAAGUCUUCCACGUUUCCAGCGCAACAAUGAGUGUUAACAGCUCACCAAUGGAAGUAAAGCCUGGAGGGAUCACUGUCUCUGUGCAAUGGAUGGCGCCAGCUCUGCCCUUUGCUGAGAGGGUCAGUAAUGGAGGACAUCCACCAAAUGCCCCAUUGACCAGCCCCUUCUCUCCCCCAACCAGACAGAGCCAGCCUGCACUUCUGCCUUUGGUUCGAAGAUCCCUAAUAGACCCUUAGGCUGUGUGCCUGAGGCGGAAAGAUAGACCCAUUCAGGUCUAUCAGGAACUCAGGAAGAGUCCCCAGAACAGACUGAGCCCCUCGGUACAGAGGUGAAACAUCCAGUCCUAUUUUCUGUGGCGCCAGUACUCUGUUCAGGGACAACACUUUUCAGUAUUUAUAGCAGUUCAAGAGGAGGAAUGCUUUUCUCUCGUGUGCCUCAACCGUUCUUUUCUUGCCUCCCAUUUACAUUCUUUUAAAAUGAAAUUUUCAUUAUUCCCAUUUCAAUUUCUAAUGUUGUUUUCUGGGUUUAUGAAGUGAUAUCCCAGGUGACUUUAUAAUAAAUUUCUUUUCAGUCCCAUGAUUGCUUUCAGUGUAUGAAA